rnacentral:rRNA from 1 species
UACGAAGGGGGCGAGCGUUGUUCGGAAUUACUGGGCGUAAAGGGCGCGCAGGCGGCUCUGAAAGUCAGAUGUGAAAGCCCCGGGCUUAACCUGGGAAUUGCAUUUGAUACUCUGGAGCUUGAGUACGGGAGAGGAGAGUGGAAUUCCCAGUGUAGAGGUGAAAUUCGUAGAUAUCGGGAGGAACACCAGUGGCGAAGGCGGCGAUCUGGGAAGAUACUGACGCUGAGGUGCGAAAGCGUGGGGAGCAAACAGG